AUGGACGCCGACGGGCGGCCGACCCAAGGGUCGGACCCCGCCGCCGCCGUUGACUCGCCCCCCACCGGAGCAGGCGAUUGGCGCGCCCAGCUCCAGCCCGAGGCGCGCAGCAGGAUCGUCGAGAGGAUGAUGGAGACUCUGAAGACGCGUCUGCCAGUAUCUGAGCCAGAGGGACUCAACGAUCUUCAAAAAAUAGCCGUGCGAUUUGAACAGAAGAUCUAUACUGAAGCAACCAAUGAGUCUGAUUAUUUCUGGAAGAUUUCUCUGAAAAUGCUCUCUAUGGAGUCGAAGACACAACAGGCUCCUGGAAAUGCUCAUGUGAUUCCAAAUCAAAACAACUCCGGCAAGGUACCAUAUACAGUAAACUGA
rnacentral:rRNA from 1 species